rnacentral:lncRNA from 1 species
AUCAGAUGAAAGAUAGGGGGAGUCCCUGAGGUCACUGUUCACCCUCCUGUUUGAGAAAUGGAGUCCCUGGAGUUAAUAUAUAUUCAUGUUUGUGACAAUAUGAAAAAUCAAAUGAAAUAUAGGAAGAGUCGCUAGGGGUCACUCACCCCUCCUGUUUUAGAAUUUAAAAAUGGUCAAGAUCCAUACCCCUAAACCAUAUAUACUCAUGUAUGGGACAAUAUAACAAAUUAAAUGAAAUAUAGGGAAGUCCCUGUGGUCAUCCCAACCCUCCUGUUUGAGAACUUGGAAACGGUCGAGAUCCCCACACCAAAACAAUAUAUAUUCAUGUAUGGAUCAAUAUAACUAAUUAAAUGAAAUAUAGGGGGAGUCCCUUGGGUCACCCUACCCCUCCUGUUUGAGAACUUGGAAACCAAUGAGAUCCCCACCCCUAAAACAUAUAUAUUCAUGUAUGGUCAUCC